AUCAUUAUUGCCUGAACGUGCGUUGAUUGUACGUACGCAUUGCAAAAUCACCGGCUGGCCGACUGAACUCGAAACAAAAAGACGCAAUUUAAUAAGUUUUCAAAAUCAAGUGAAACGUCUUUGACCGUCGUCAUCUCCCAAGAUUUUGCCACUCUCCAACCAUGCUGCAGAAUUACAGUAGAUAGCAAAAACUAGUUCAGAAACCUCUCUCAUGCCCCUUCCUUCGCAUCAUCGUAAACCCCAUUAAACUCAGGCAAAAUGCAAAAUUGUAGGAGAAGUCUAUCGUAUUGCAGUCAAGAUUUCAACAUAGAGGGCGACAUUUCCUUGCUUUCUGCACAGGUCAACAAAUUCUUCCAGAUUUGAGUCUUAAUGGAGUCAAAUUGGAAAGUUUUUGCUUUGUUUUUGUUCUUGCUAAAACUACCAAAUCCUUAAUAAUUGUUGACAAAUGUUUUUUUUUUGUGAAGAGCCUCAUAGGGAAAUGCUGCCCUCUUGUUUUGAAGUUGUCAUUUUGUCUUUGGAGAAUUUACUUACAUUAUCAAGACCUGUGUAACAAAUAGAAAUGCACGACUUAUCACCUAGUUACAUGUAAAUCUCAUUCUUGUGUCUGUUUGCAUGUUUUCUUGUUUAUAUUCAAAUUUAACUUGGGAGGGGCUCAUGAGAGGACUCAGACAAGUUCGGUUUUAUCUGACAGUAAUUAUUACAGUAACAAUGCUUCUUAUACCUCGGUCGCAUUGGCUCUUCGGCAAGUCGCAACAGCCGUUUUAACUU